UACGGGGGAGCAAGCGUUGUUCGGAUUUACUGGGCGUAAAGGGCGCGUAAGCGGCCACCGCAAGUCGACUGUGAAAUCUCCGGGCUUAACCCGGAAAGGUCAGCCGAUACUGCGGGGCUAGAGUGCAGAAGGGGCAACUGGAAUUCGUCGGUGUAGCGGUGAAAUGCGUAGAUAUCAGGAGGAACACCGAUGGCGAAGGCAGGUCUCUGGGCUGACACUGACGCUCAUGCACGAAAGCGUGGGGAGCAAACAGG
rnacentral:rRNA from 1 species